ensembl:miRNA
CCUGCCAGUCUCCGGCGGCGGCUUGUGGCUGAGUGUCACGCUGCUGGCGCAGGCUCGGCC